CAAGCUUUCGAUCAAUCCUAAAAUAUGGUCAAAAAAGUAUUUUUCACUCAAAUAUAAAAGUAAAGAUUUAAAUUUUUUAGCUUUUGGUUUUUGCGUAUAAAAGUAGGAUACACUACACCCAUGAUCAUUUUUAUUUACCUCAAAUUAUAUUUUAGUUAUUUAUUUUUAAAAUGUUAUAUUUUAGUCACAUGCGUUAUCAUGUUGUAACAUUUUAGUUACUAAGUCAUUAUUGUCGUUAACGGUGUAACAGUAAGUUGAUGUGAUGUUAAAUUAUCAUUUCAAGCAAAAAUUUUAGGUUUAAUUAUACAAUCAAUUUUCAUAUUUUUUUUUGUUUUGAGCAAUUUAAUUUUUUUAUUUUAUGUUCUUUAAACUUUUUUUUUCCAUUCUUUUCUGUUUCUCCCUUUGUUUUUCUACCUUCUCCAUUUCUUUAAACAUAUCAGGAAGUCAAAUUGACAGUGAAAAAAGAAGUAGGAAGUUGAAAGCCAUCAUUGCCUAUAACCAAAACUCAUAAACCCAUAUUAUGCUUCUUUCUUCACUACCAAUUUGACUUUUUGCUAUGUUAAGAGAAAUAGAGAAGGUAAAAAAACAGAGAGAGAAGAAAAAGAGAAUUGAAAAUAAAGAAAAAAAGAAGAAGUUAAAAGAACAUAAAAGAUAAAAAUUAAACUACUCAAAACAAAAAGAUAUGGGGACCAAUUAUAUAAUUUAAUCUAAAUUUUUUGUUUGAAAUAAUUAUUUAACGUGUUACGUUAGCUCACCAUUACACCGUUAACGAUAAUUAACGGCUCAAUGACUAAAAUGUUACAAUACAAUAACGUAAGUGUAACAGCCCAAUUUUGACCCUAAUCGGAACAGUAGUUUCGGGACCACAAAUUCGAAUUAGAAAAAAUAUUUUAAUAUUAUUUUCUGUGUUUAUGAUGUGUGAAUUUAAUUGUGUGAAAUUUUCGUGUUUUAAUUUUGUCGUUUGAGAGAUUGAUUAAAGAAAAUGGCUUAAUCGCGUAAAAUAAAAAUUUAAGGGUUAAAUCUAAAGGUACCAAAUUGUUGUUGUCUUUAUUAAAUGGAGGAUUUAUGAUGUAAUAAGGCCAAAAUAUAGUUAGUGGGUGGCAAAGUACAAGUAUAGCCUUAUAUAUAUGUAUAUAUAUAUUUAUAUAAAGGUUAAAAAAGUAAACUAAUUAUUAAUGUUAGUGUAUGUUUAAUAUAUUAAAAUUAAAGCAUUAUUUCUCCAUCUUUUGGCCGAAACUAAGAACAAAGAAGAUUGUUUAAAAGCUUUAAUAUAUUCGGCACUUGCAAGCUUGAUUGAGGUAUGAAUUUUAUUUGUUUUUUUGAUAAUUUUUACGUUUUUGAGAUCGUUGCUUUGAAUACUUCAAAAUUCAUGUCUUAAUUUUGUGAAUUGUUGAUGAUUUUGAAAUGUGCCAUUGAUGAAUGUUUGAGUUUCAUGAUGUUAGUUGAUGAAAUAUGAAAUAUAAUUGUUAGAUUAACAUGUUUUGUCUUUGAAUUUUUGGUGAAUUUGAGUAAUUAGGGCUAAAUUGAGAAAAUAAAUUUUUGAAGGACUAUAAUGUGAAAUAAAUGAAAUGCUUGAGCUUGUAUAGACACUAGGAAUAUUCGGCCCUUAAGGAGUGUAGUCAAAAUUUGUGUAUUUUGUGUUUUGAGCAAAAAGGAUUAAAUUGUAAAAAGUGUGAAAUUUUAGGGCAAAAUUGUAAUUUGUCCAUUUAUGUGUUUUUAGGGUAAAUCGAAUAGAAUGGUGUUUGAAUAAGCUUAAUUUGAAUAUUUUUAGAUCAAGAAUUAAAGAAAUUGAAUUUGGAUCGGGGAAAGACAAAAGUGGUCGAGUAGCCAAUUUAGCAGUCGACGACAUCCGAGGUAAGUCGAUAAGCAUUUAAAUGUUGUUAAAUUCAAGAAUAUAUAAAUGACAAGUGAUACCCACGAGGACAAGACUACGAGGGCAGCCCAUCAACGAGGCCCAGACAUUCACCCGGCUCAUCAUCAGCGGCCAUGCAAUCACAGUCCCAACGAGAGCACCGACGCAGUCACCUGACGCAGCAAUUCAACAGAUGAUACCCACGCAAUCGCCUUUCCCUAUGAUGCCAGGUAUGUUUCCUAGCCCUUAUAUGUACCCUAACCCGUACAUGUAUCCUUUUCCGAAUCCUAUGGCAGGUUGGAGCCAAAUGCCCGGAUCAGCUCCAUUUCCUGUAAUGCCGAGCGGACCACCGAUAACUAGGCCAUCGGCGCAGGAGGGGUCACAAGGGGGGCCGUCGGGGAGCUCUCCUUUUUAUCAAUCGCCAGCAACGCAUGGCUUUCAAACUCAGUCGCCGUUCAUGAUGCAAACACCUCCACAUACAGUAUUCUUUGAAGGUGGAUCAUCGUCCCAAAUCCAACAAGCAGAUGCCGAACCAGAAGAACAACAAUCACCAAUCGAGGAAGAACAACCGCCGUCGGAAGCUAGAGGAAGGAGGAAUCCAGCGCGUAAUCGUCGACGGCCUCCAUGUGGAACCGAAUCCCCCGGUCAUAGACAUUGAUUACUGUUAAAAUUUAUCAUUUGAUGUAAUGAAAUAGAAGUUUAUGACGAU
rnacentral:lncRNA from 1 species